rnacentral:lncRNA from 1 species
GCGCACGCCGCCUCCGUCCUAGGCUGGGCCCGCGGGAGCUCGGAGGGUGAGGAUCCCCGACUUUACCCGCCUUCCCCACUAUUGAGCCCCCACGCAGGCGCCAUCACACACACGUAUAACAACGGCGGCAAACUUCCGCAUCGGCCGUGUCCUGAAAGUGGCCCGGUGGAGGUCAAGGUGAAGAAAGCGGGAGGAAAAGGAUGCUCUUUGUUUAAAAAAUAAAAUUUAAUUUAAAACAACUAAAAGGAUUCAAAAAGAUCUCAGCAGGCUAAAACAUCCGACUCAAUUGAAUAAUGCGAAAGUUAGUG